rnacentral:tRNA from 1 species
UCCCUGGUGGCUCAGAUGGUAAAGCAUCUGCCUGCAAUGCAGGGGACCUGGGUUCAAUCCCUGGGUAGGGAA